GACGAACGCUGGCGGCGUGCUUAACACAUGCACGUCGAACGGAGUGUCGAACGGGUGAGUAACACGUGGGUGAUCUGCCUUUCACUUCGGGACACGCUUGUGAAACCGGGUCUACUCCCGGCUAGUGCAAGAUGUGGUCGCUGCCUAUCAGCUUGUUGGUGGGGGAAUGGCCUACCAAGGCGUCGACGGGUAGCCGGCCUGGUAGGGUGUACGGCGACAAUAGGACUGAGUUACGGCCCAGGGGCCUACGGGGAGCAGCAGGGUGGAAUAGUACACAAUGGGCGGGAGCCUGAGGAGGCGGCGCCGCGUGGGGGAUGAAGGCCUUCAGGUUGUGAACUCCUUUCGACCGGGACGCGGUACCUGUAUAAGAAGCACCGGCUAACUACGUGCCAGCAGCCGCGGUAAUUC
rnacentral:rRNA from 1 species